ACGACUACUACAGGGAUCAUUUCUAUAGUUUGUUACUUGUGAAAUGUGUUUCUAAAGAGUCUGGUCUCGCUAACCAUGUUGUGGAGUUACAGUGUUCUCUUCUGAGCGCGAAGUGGCUCUUGAAUGCUACUUUAGCUGUUCCUUUCCAUUGAUGUGUUACCUUUCUGAUUAUCUUCUUAUAAUCAGCUUUAGGGACCUGCAAAA